UAACCCGCACCACUUAUCGUGGUGGGAGACAGUGUCAGGCGGGCAGUUUGACUGGGGCGGUCGCCUCCUAAAAGGGAACGGAGGCGCUCAAAGGUUCCCUCAGAAUGGUUGGAAAUCAUUCAUAGAGGGUAAAGGCAUAAGGGAGCUUGACUGCGAGACCUACAAGUCGAGCAGGGGCGAAAGACGGACUUAGUGAUCCGGUG
rnacentral:rRNA from 1 species